AAGUAAGCAGCAUAGCACGCGCUGCUACACUGACGCAUACAGCGAGUACUUCCCAGCUCCGAGAGGCAGCUGGUAAUCAGCAAUAUGCGUCGUGAUGGGGAUAGAUCUUUGGAAUUAUAGAUCUUGAACGAGGAAUUCCUAGUAAGCGCAAGUCAUUACCUUGCGCUGAUUAAGUCCCUGCCCUUUGUACACACCGCCCGUCGCUCCUACCGAUUUCGAGUGAUCCGGUGAACCUUUCGGACCGCGCCUAGCCUCGUGCCUGGUGUGGAAAGUCAAGUAAACCAUAUCACUUAGAGGAAGGAGAAGUCGUAACAAGGUUUCCGUAGGUAAGCCUGCGGA
rnacentral:rRNA from 1 species